rnacentral:rRNA from 1 species
CCCGUAAUCUACCCAGUUUUCGUAUCCAAAACGGAUAUCUGCGUUAAUUUUGGAGCUAAUACRUGCACCAAAGCACCGCCAGCAAUGGUAGUGCGCACAUAUUAGAUCAAGACCUAUUGGGGCAACCCACUUGAUGACUCUGAAUAUUUUUGCGGAUCGCAUGGUCUUGUACCGGCGACGUACUGGUCGAGCGGGUGCCCUAUCAACUAUUGAUGGAAGUCUAUGUGUCUUCCAUGGUUGUAACGGGUAACGGAGAAUAAGGGUUCGACUCCGGAGAGCUAGCCUUAGAAACGGCUAUCACAUCCAAGGAAGGCAGCAGGCGCGUAAAUUACCCACUCUCAAUUCGAGGAGGUAGUGACUAUCAAUAACGAGACAGAUCUCUUUGAGGUCUGUCAUUGAAAUGAGCACAACUUAAAGACUUUAACGAAGUCUAUGGGAGGGCAAGUCUGGUGCCAGCAGCCGCGGUAAUUCCAGCUCCCAACGUGUAUAUCGUCAUUGCUGCGGUUAAAAAGCUCGUAGUUGGAUCUAAGUUCAUGACUGUAGUUCUCCAUGUGAGAUACUGCUAGUCUGGACUGUUUCGCCGGUUUUCCGUAGCUUCGGCUGCGGUGACUGGUGUUGUAACUUUGAUUAAAUCAAUGUGAUUAAAACAGGCGUUUGCUUGAAUGCUUUAUCAUGGAAUAAUAGAAUAUGACUUCGGUCCAUUCUGUUGGUCUUGGGAUUGAAGUAAUGAUUAAAAGGAACAACUCGGGGGCAUCCGUAUCGCUGCGUGAGAGGUGAAAUUCUUGGACCGCAGCGAGACGACCUAUUGCG